GGCAGCCGUGCUCUGGGGACAGCCACAGCGUCGUACAGUGACCUGAGAGCCUCCUGGAAGGCAGUGGGUGUGAUGUGAAGGAGUGCUGGAAGAGUGACCGUCGUGAUGGAGAGCAGCCCUGACAUGCUGAGCUCUCAGGAUAUGUUUGGGUAGUCCUAAAAGACUGCUUGGAGAAGCGGAAAGACACAGGGAGAUGAAGAAACCAGGAGGCUGGCACAGCUGGCUGUGGAAAUGAUCAGAGGCACUAGUGCCAUAUUGCACCUCUGCACAUGGCCGUGUUGGUCUGUUACAGCUCUUUGCUGGAAGGCAGCUGGCAUCCAGGGAGCUCCGUUGGAGGUGUCUGCGGUGAGCCAAGCAGCAAAAGGGCCACAAAGCGGGGAAGGAGAGCUGACAGUCUGUGAUUUUGGGGCUGCUGGAAGGAGGGGUGGGAACUGGUGAGCUGCAGAGACCCUGACACAAAGAAGAUCCAAGUGCCCACAGAGGAAACUUAAGAUCCAAGUGCUCACUUGUGGAAACUUAUUUAACAUGGCUUUGAGUUGCAGAAAGCAUUGCAAAACCCUGGACCCUUCACGUCUUUAAGUGAUAAGCUAUUUUCCUGCCAACGUUCCAUAUCCAAAAAGGAAAAAA